CCCUUGCUCAUUCCGCCUCCUUGUAGGCAUUAAAAUGUACUUCUUCAUGGAAUAAACAUUCUUCAUCAAGCAUUUGUGACCUGCUAUUCUCAUAAGUUUUCAAAGUGAUGUCAGUCUCAAGUAAUUCAAUUUCAAGAGACUCAUCUACUACAAGGGGAAACGAGGAGGGGCAAUAAUAUUUUCAACAAAGAAGAACUUGUAGAAGAUUGGUUCUUUGAAUGUCAAGAUGGAGGAGAACUCAUGAUUUUUGACUAUGGGCAAGUCCUUUUGCUAAAAAAAUUAUUUUAUUUUUGUUAUGAUUGAUGAAAUUAACUAGAAACAUGGUUGUUAUUCUAUAAAAUUUUUUAUGACGACGAUGUUACUAGUUUAUUUUAUAAAAUAUUACAAAUAUAAAUUGA